GGCACGGGGAAGGUAGUGACGAAAAAUAACGAUACCGGACUCGUCCCAGGCCUCGUAAUUGAAAUGAUUACAAUCUAAAUCCCUUAACAAGAAUCCAUUGAAGGACAAUUCUGGUGCCACCACCCCCGGUAAUUCCAGCUCCAAUACCGAAUAUAAAAGUUGUUGCGGUUAAAAAGCUCGUAUUUGAAUCUCAUUUCUGGACAUGCGCGGGUCCGCCCACGCACUGGUGGACUGCUGACAUGCCUGGAGCAAAACCGCCUGGCUUGUCGCACGGUGCUCUUGACCGAGUGUUGUGGGUGGCCGACUCGUUCACGUUGAGAAAACCAGAGUGCUUAAAGCAGGCGCAAGACGCCCGAAUGACUGUGCAUGGAAUAAUGGAAAAGGAUCUCGCUUCUGUCUUUGUUGGUUCUUCGGAAGGCGAGAUAAUGAUUAAUAGGGACAGACGGGGGCAUUCGUAUUGCGACGUUAGAGGUGAAAUUCUUGGAUCGUCGCAUGACGAACUACUGCGAAAGCAUUUGCCAAGAAUGUUUUCGUUAAUCAAGAACGAAAGUUAGAGGUUCGAAGGCGAUCAGAUACCGCCCUAGUUCUAACCAUAAACGAUGCCAACUGGCGAUCCGCCCCAGUUAAAUGCACGACUGGGCGGGCAGCCUCCGGGAAACCAAAGUCUUUGGGUUCCGGGGGAAGUAUGGUUGCAAAGCUGAAACUUAAAGAAAUUGACGGAAGGGCACCACCAGGAGUGGAGCCUGCGGCUUAAUUUGACUCAACACGGGAAACCUCACCAGGCCCGGACACCAAAAGGAUUGACAGAUUGAGAGCUCUUUCUUGAUUGGUGGGUGGGGGUUCAUGGCCGUUUAUAGUUGGUGGAGUGUCUUGUCUGCUUAAUUCCGAUAAUCGAUAUAGAGACUCUAGCUUGCUAACUAUCUGGUGGAUCACUUGGUUUGAUGCGACAAACACAGUUGUAUACUUUCGGGUUUGGUCUGGAUAGUUGAGUCCAUCUCGAG
rnacentral:rRNA from 1 species